CCUACGGGGGGCAGCAGUGGGGAAUAUUGGACAAUGGGCGAAAGCCUGAUCCAGCCAUGCCGCGUGUGUGAAGAAGGCCUUCGGGUUGUAAAGCACUUUCAGUGGGGAAGAAAGCCUUGGGGCUAAUACCCUCGAGGAAGGACAUCACCCACAGAAGAAGCACCGGCUAACUCCGUGCCAGCAGCCGCGGUAAUACGGAGGGUGCGAGCGUUAAUCGGAAUUACUGGGCGUAAAGCGCGCGUAGGCGGUCUGAUAAGCCGGUUGUGAAAGCCCCGGGCUCAACCUGGGAACGGCAUCCGGAACUGUCAGGCUAGAGUGCAGGAGAGGAAGGUAGAAUUCCCGGUGUAGCGGUGAAAUGCGUAGAGAUCGGGAGGAAUACCAGUGGCGAAGGCGGUCUUCUGGACUGACACUGACGCUGAGGUACGAAAGCGUGGGUAGCAAACAGGAUUAGAUACCCGAGUAGUC
rnacentral:rRNA from 1 species